rnacentral:rRNA from 1 species
GACGAACGCUGGCGGCGUGCUUAACACAUGCAAGUCGAACGGAAAGGCCCUGCUUUUGUGGGGUGCUCGAGUGGCGAACGGGUGAGUAACACGUGAGUAACCUGCCCUUGACUUUGGGAUAACUUCAGGAAACUGGGGCUAAUACCGGAUAGGAGCUCUUGCUGCAUGGUGGGGGUUGGAAAGUUUCGGCGGUUGGGGAUGGACUCGCGGCUUAUCAGCUUGUUGGUGGGGUAGUGGCUUACCAAGGCUUUGACGGGUAGCCGGCCUGAGAGGGUGACCGGCCACGUUGGAACUGAGAUACGGCCCAGACUCCUACGGGAGGCAGCAGUGGGGAAUAUUGCACAAUGGGCGGAAGCCUGAUGCAGCAACGCCGCGUGCGGGAUGACGGCCUUCGGGUUGUAAACCGCUUUCGCCUGUGACGAAGCGUGAGUGAGGGUAAUGGGUAAAGAAGCACCGGCUAACUACGUG